rnacentral:lncRNA from 1 species
AUGCAGGGGUGCGACAACCUGGUCGUGGUCACCGACCAUAAGCCUCUAGUGAAGAUCCUUGGGGACCGGACAUUGGAUGAGAUAACUAACUCUCGCCUGUUCAGGCUCAGACAGAGCACACUCCCAUGGUGCUUUGAUAUUGUACACUUGCCUGGCAAGAGCAACUGCGCUGCCGACGCAGCCUCCAGGUAUCCCUCGCUCUCUGGCUCUGAUGAGGGCCGCUGCAUGGGCGCAUGGAAUGUGACCAAUAGCGAGGAGUCGGUGCAUAUGGCGUCCAUUUGCAACGACGCACUGGAGUCUGCUGCAAUUGCAUGGCCACUCCUUGCACAGGAGACGGUCACGGACGCAUGCCUCUCCCACCUCCUGCACCUCAUUGAAGACGGGGGCAGCAUUGACCCAAAGGACCUGGCGCUGGCUGACCUGUCUAAGGUCUGUGAGUCAGUGUAUGCGCAAGAUGGGGUCCUGCUGUACUGUGACCGCAUCGUUGUCCCCAAGUCCCUUCGUCGUGCGGUACUUCAACACCUCCACGCCGCCCAUCAGGGCAAGUCGGCAAUGGAACGACGGGCCUGCUCCAUCGUAUACUGGCCUGGGAUGUCUAACGACAUCCAGUUGACCAGGGAGCGAUGCGCAGGCUGUAACCGCAAUGCACCCUCGCAGGCGGACACACCUCCCAUGCCGGCAUCACCGCCAUCCACGUCAUUUGAGGAGGUGUUCGCAGACUUCUUCGACUACAGGGGUCACCACUACCUGGUCGUUGGCGAUCGCCUCUCCGGCUGGGUGGAAGUCAUGAACUCUCCCCCGGGCACCAAUCUCGGGGGCUCCAUUGGGCUUAUCCAUCACUUAAGGGCUUUCUUCGCCACGUUUGGUGUGCCCGAGGAGUUGUCAAGUGACGGAGGCCCGGAGUUCUCGGCAGGGUGCACAGCGGACUUCCUCCGCUUAUGGCAGGUCAAGCACCGCGUGUCCUCGGUUGGGUUCCCCCAGUCUAAUGGAAGGGCGGAGGUGGCUGUCAAGACGGCGAAGUGCCUACUAGUCUCAAACACCGGCCCGACCGGGAGCCUCGACCAUGACCGCUUUCUGCGUGCGAUGUUGCAACUGCGUAAUACGCCUGACCCCGACUGCGACCUGUCGCCCGCGCAAAUCAUCUUUGCUCGCCCCCUCAGGGACACUGUCAUUUGUAAAUAG